rnacentral:misc_RNA from 1 species
GAUGAAGAACGUAGCGAAAUGCGAUAAGUAAUGUGAAUUGCAGAAUUCAGUGAAUCAUCGAAUCUUUGAACGCACCUUGCGCCCUUUGGCCAUUCCGAAGGGCAUGCCUGUUUGAGUAUCAUGAACACCUCAACUCUCAUGGCUUGCCAUGAUGAGCUUGGACUUUGGGGGUCUUGCUGGCCUGCGGCCAGCUCCUCUCAAAUGAAUUAGCUUUCCAGUGUUUGGUUGGCAUCACAGGUGUGAUAACUAUCUACGCUUGUGGUUUCCACCAGGUAACCUUCAGUAACAUGGGGGUUUGCUGGAGCUCAUAAAUGUCUCUCCUCAGUGGGGACAGCUCUUUGAACGUUUGAUCUCAAAUCAGGUAGGACUACCCGCUGAACUUAAGAAUAUCAAUAAGCGGAGGA